rnacentral:rRNA from 1 species
UACAGGGGGUGCAACCGUUGCUCGGAAUCAUUGGGCGUAAAGAGUUCGUAGGCGGCGCAGAAAGUAGGGUGUGAAAGCCCUCGGCUCAACCGAGGAAUUGCGCUCUAAACUACUGUGCUUGAGGAAUCUAGAGGUGAGCGGAACUGAUGGUGGAGCGGUGAAAUGCGUUGAUAUCAUCAGGAACACCGGAGGCGAAGGCGGCUCACUGGGGAUUUUCUGACGCUGAGGAACGAAAGCCAGGGGAGCGAACGGG